AUGUAGGUUGUGCCAACCUCUAAGGGCCAAGCACGUGCACAUGAAUAUGGCAUUAAAUUCUUUGAAACGAGUGCAAAGACAAAUCUUAAUGUUGAGCAAGUCUUCUUUUCAAUAGCUAGGGAUAUAAAGCAAAGGCUCGCUGACACUGACUCCAGGGCAGAGCAGCCUCAAACUAUCAAAAUCAAUCAACCGGAGUAGGGGGCUGCAGAUGGUCAACUUGCGCAAAAAUUAGCUUGCUGCGGUUCUUAAACGAACAAGUUAUUGCAGGAGCAAUGGUAACGUAUUGGAGGCUGCUCUUCGGAGAAAACCAGAAUGA